GGAAACAAAAUCAACCAAGCAAUUAUAACAAACCAAGAUUGUGUUAAGAUCCAGAGUUCUGACGGUACAUGGAAUGACAAUGAUUGUUCUGAUAAUAAGUGCUACGUCUGCGAAAACCCGGCCUCUUAGCUUCCCUUCCAAGAUCAACUAACUGUGCUGCUGUAGUGCCGACCCACAGGCACCUUCCAGCACUAGGACCCUAGUUUCAACCUGCUCAGGAGACAGAAAACCAUGGACUGACCUUCCCCACAGGUAUAAACACACCAAGGAGUGUAAUUAGUAUUCUUGCUACAUAUAGCUCAGCAGUAUAAUUUACAGAAAUGUAGUUUGGCUACAUAUACCCGUAGCUCGGCAAUGUGUUUUACAGGAAUAGUACUCUGGCUACAUAUGGCUCGGCAAUAUGAUUUACGGAAAUAGUACUUUACCUACAUAUAACUCGGAAAUAUAAUUUCCUGGAAUAGUACUCUGGUUACAUCUAGCUCGGAAAUGUGAUUUCCAGGAAUAGUACUUUGGUUGCAUAUAGUUCAGCAACAUGAUAUCCAGGAAUAGUACUCUGGUUACAUAUAGCUUGGCAAUAUGAUUUACAGAAAUAGUACUCUGCCUACAUAUAACUCGGCAAUAUGAUUUCCAGGAAAAGUACUCUACAUACAUGUAGCUAGGCAAUAUGAUUUACAGUAAUAAUACUUAGGCUUCAUAUGGCUCGGCUAUAUGUUUUACAGAAAUAGUACUCUGGUUACAUAAAGUUUGGCAAUAUGACUUACAGGAAUAGUACACUGCAUACAUUUAUCUGAGUCAUAGUUAAUAUCAUGUGUGAAAAAUUUCGGUUUUCGUGAGACACUGAUUGAGUUGCACACAAAUAAGUUUGAUUUUACUUUCAAGUGAAGACUACCUUUAUUUGAUCUGCUAAGUAAGAUUAAGCAUUACAAAUUGGUCUCUCGUUUAGUGGGUAAGGUUGAUGAAGAUACAAUUACACGAGAGAAAAUAAUAGGAAUGAUUUUGAGAGUCAGUUAUGACCAUUUUAACUUGAAGCUUGCACGUAACUUAGCAGAAAUAAUUAGUAAAUAUGUUUCUAGUUUCCACUUCGAAAACUUGCGUUUUAAACUAAAUUUUGGCAAAUGACAGAAUUUCAGAGGCCAGUAAAAAUCGAUAGAGAUAUUACACACGAAUAUUUGUGUAAUAUAAACGAAACCUGAAUGCCUGAGUUUGCUAGGAAAUGCAAGGUAUGAAAGAUACCUGAAGUUCCUUCUUAAAUCACGACGCCACUUUUGUGAAUUUUGUGACUAAAGAUUCUGUUUUAGCUGUGACUUUCUGUCCUUUGUCCCCGUAGGGGCUUAGUGUCGUCAGUGUACCUCACGCGGUGCACCAUAGGCAUUACUUAGGGUUCUUUGUAGCGCCCUUUGUUCCCUAGCUGCAACCCCUUUCAUUCCUUUUACUGUACCUCCGUUCAUACCUUUUUUUCCAGCUUGCUUGUUAGUGCAACUGCUUUGAGGUUUCCUCCUGUGACACCUUUCAAACCUUUCUACUCUCAAUUUCCCUUUCAUCGCUGAAUGACCUCGUAGGUCCCAGCGUUAUGGAUUGGUCCUAACCUCUAUAUUUAUGUGCCUUGUCAAUGUUGAUGUAGCAUGUGGGCAUUGUAUGACUUUUAUUAUCACGCUGUAUUUUACUGUAGAGAGGGUUAUAGUAUAUCAUUAGUCCUGAAUAGCCAUAUUCACAGAAGUAAUGAGUCUGAAUUUGUAUAUCCAGGCAACCCACAUAUAUUUCACAAUUUGUUUAUUUUUAUGCCGUUGAAAAUCAGGUAAGAAAUCAGUUUUGACAUCAAUGGUUUUAAGAGCAUUACGUUUUUGUAACUCUUAAUAUAUUGAAGAUGAAAUAGAUGUCAUUUGGAAUAUUGGCAAGAUGAAAAAAAAAUGAAGUAUUUUGUGGUCAUGAAAAUAAGUAUGUUCCACAAAAACUCAUUCGUACUCCCAUAUUGUGACAACUUCAAAGAUAUUCCCAUCAGAUUGUAAACUUUGAUGACAAUGUUGCAUUUACGAGCAGUAAUAAAAUAUUUUUAAAAGUACUGAUAAACAACUAUCUUAACAGUACCAAUGGGUGUGUACAUCAAAUGCCAUGUAAUUCUUGUAAUAAAUUUCAAGUAGGAAAACCUGAAGUAUCACUGAAAAAGAUAACUUGACAGUAUGAAAAAAUGCAAAGAUACGCACAGCAUGGUGGUGUAAUUUUUGUCCAUGUUUGAGAUGAUAGAUAAUCCUGCCAUUAAUUGCACAAGUAGAAAGUUAACAUAUUCUAAUAAAAUCUUGAAAAGAAAUUAGUCGAGUCUAGUUUAUGAAAGAAAGUUUUUAUUAAAAUAUGAAAAUCAGGCUAGCUUUGCCUAAAUUUUAACUAUUUACUCCGAUAGGAAUAUGUGAAACUUGCCUAUUUUGAUAGCAUAGUUAAGGUUGGUCCAGAUAACCAAACGAUUCGAUUUUUAUAUUCCACAGAGAAAUAAUCCACAACAGGUGUCCUAUAAAAAUAAGGUUUAUUAAUGGCACGCCUUUCCCUGUCCAAAAGGCUCACCCUUCACUCUGCAAGUGUUAUAGCAAACGUAUUUUAACAGUUUGCAUGUUUGUGUGUAUUGUGGCUUGAUCAUCCUAAAUAUAUAAUAUAGAUUUAUUAUUUUGUGUAACAGUCUUUGAGUUAAUAUCUGAAAUAGAUUAAUCCUGUCAGGACAUAUGUACUGUUUUUCAUUUAUAUACUUAUCAUAAUUUACAAUUAAACUUCAAGUGUUCUUAUGAAUGUAGAUAUUGCCUCAAUAGCACCUUCUCAUAGUUUCCAUAUUGAGAUAAGGCAAGAUCUGUAUUGAUCGAAAAUAUAGUGGCUUAGUCAGU